rnacentral:lncRNA from 1 species
GGUUGCCAUUUGAAGUAUUGAUACAGUAUGUCCUCUUCAUGAUUGACAUGACACAACAGUAAACAACUCAUUAGGCCUACUUUUAGCAGGGUAUCUGAAAUAUUUCAUAAACAAUUCAUUCAUAUAUCACAGAGAUUACAUUUCCUUCAUGUGGAAAUGAGUAAAACACAUUGGAAUUAUUCUCACAGAAUUUAAUGUUGGCUAUGUUUUAUUGUAUAACUAUUGAAUUUUGAAAAGUAUCCUAUACAAAUCUUCUUUUGAGCUGCCUAUGUCAUGUGGGGGCAGCAUAGUCUAGUGGUUAGAGUGUUGGACUAGUAACUGAAAGGUUGCAAGUUUGAAUCCCCGAGCUGACAAGGUACAAAUCUGUCGUUCUGCCCCUGUACAAGGUAGUUAAUCCACUGUUCCUAGGCCGUCAUUGAAAAUAAGAAUUUGUUCUUAACUGACCUGCCUAGUUAAAUAAAGGUAAAAAAAAAAAUGCAAAUAUUUUCUUACAAUACAUAUUUUGCCAAUUGGCCUGGACCCCUUUUACUGCCGGUCCAGAGACCCGCAGAUCCUUCAUGACUGGACUACCGACGUAAUCCGCUCAAGGGGGCUCCGCACGAAGAGGCUAUAACAGACUUCUUCCGUCGCGACGUCCCUCUAAAGCCCUUAUGCUAGCUUGCUAGCCCCGGCCCGCUAGCUGUCUGAAACGCUGUGUCUCCAGCCAGCCUAACUACUCACUGGACUCCUAUGAUCACUCGGCUAAGCAUGCCUCUCCCUAACGUCAAUAUGCCUUGUCCAUUGCUGUUCUGGUUAGUGAUUAUAUUAUUUCACUGUAGAGCCUCUAGCCCUGCUCAAUAUGCCUUAGCUAACCCUUUAAUUCCACCUCCCACACAUGCGGUGACAUCACCUGGUUUAAAUUAUGUUUCUAGAGACAAUAUCUCUCUCAUCAUCACUCAAUGCCUAGGUUUACCUCCACUGUAUUCACGUCCUACCAUACCUUUGUCUGUACAUUAUGCCUUGAAUCUAUUCUAUCGCGCCCAGAAACCUGCUCCUUUUACUCUCUGUUCUGAACAUACUAGACAACCAGUUCUUUUAGCCUUUAGCUGUACCCUUAUCCUUCUCACUGGUCACCAUAGCAGCACCCACCAGUAGCACGCGCUCCAGCAGGUAUAUUUCACUGGUCACCCCCAAAGCCAAUCCCUCCUUUGGCUGCCUUUCCUUCCAGUUCUCUGCUGCCAAUGACUGGAACAAACUGCAAAAAUCACUGAAGCUGGAGACUCAUAUCUCCCUCACUAACUCUAAGCACCAGCUGUCAGAGCAGCUCACAGAUCGCUGCACCUGUUCAUAGCCCAUCUGUAAAUAGCCCAUCCAACUACCUCAUCCCCAUACUGUAUUUAUUUAUUUAUCUUGCUCCUUUGCACCCCAGUAUCUCUACUUGCACAUUCAUCUUCUGCACAUCUAUCAUUCGUGUUUAAUUGCUAUAUUGUGAUUACUUCGCCACCAUGGCCUAUCUAUUGCCUUACCUCCCUUAUCUUACCUCCUUUGCACACAAUGUAUAUAGACUUUUUCUACUGUAUUAUUGACUGUAUGUUUGUUUAUUCCAUGUGUAACUCUGUGUUGUUGUAUGUGUUGAACUGCUUUGCUUUAUCUUGGCCAGGUCGCAGUUGUAAAUGAGAACUUGUUCUCAACUAGUCUACCUGGUUAAAUAAAGGUGAAAUAAAAAUAAAAAAUUAUAAACUGUGUCAAAAGACACACCCUCGUCAUCUUGGUGGGCGGUCCAAAUGAUGAGCCACGCAAGGGAAGUUUGCAACGUAAACCCCUCAGCCUUCGUUUUUCGUCGGCUUUGCUAGAUUGCGGUCCAAACACUUAAAAGACACCCUAUCCCCUCAGCCAUCAAAUGAAGUGGACACUUCUGAUGACGUUUGAUGAGUAUACACUUGCAGGGCAAGGUGCGAGGGAGGAAGGAAUGAUUUUGAAAUGGACCACCCUUGGCCACCAUUUGUCACUCGUUCAUGCCGCGAUGAUUGUGUUUUCAGCAACCGGUGGCCUCCCGGGUGGCGCAGUGGUCUAAGGCACUGCAUCGCUGUGCCACCAGAGAUUCUGGGUUUGAGCCCAGGCUCUAUCGCAGCCGGCCGCGACCGG